GCCCGGCCGGGUGCCGAGCGCCCCUCCCGCCCCCGGAGCCUGCUACCCAGGGACCCCGCGGCCCCGCCGCGCCGGCGCGCCCCGAGCCCGCGCCGAGGGAGGAGAUAGAUCAGACUGGCAGAAAAAAAAGAUGGAGAACUUUCGCUGAACCUUCACUACAAAGAGAAGCAGACUAUGGAUUCAGACUGCCUGGAUUCCAACCGGCUCUCCACCUCUUUGCUAUCUUGGACAGAGUUUUACUAUGUUGCCCUCGGUAGAGUGCCAUGGCCUCACAGCUCACAGCAAGCGUAAACUCUUGGGCUUAAGCAAUUCUCUUGCCUCAGCCUCCCAAGUAGCUGGGACACAGGCACCGCCACAACGCCCAGCUAUUUUUUUCUUGUUGCUGUUGUCAUUGUUGUUUUAGCUGGCCCAGGCUGGGUUCGAACCCGCCAGCCUCUGUAUAUGUGGCUGGCACCCUACCCACUGAGCUAUGGGCGUCACCCUAAUUAAAUUAUUUUCAAAGGACACCACUAUAAGAGGGAUUCUACCUAACAAAUGCAACCAUUGUAACCUAGUUGUUUGUACCCCACAUUAACCUGAAAUUUAAAUAAAUA